UUUUUAUUUCCGGUUUCAUCAGUGUGACAGCAUGGCAGACAGCCAAGGAAAAACAAAAAGAGUCCAGCCAAAGUGGAGUCCUCCAGCUGCUACUGGAGUUGCUCAGCUGAAGUUAUAUAACAGUCUAACCAGGCAAAAGGAAUUAUUUGUGCCUCAGAAUGGCAGCCAGGUCACAUGGUACAGCUGUGGUCCCACCGUGUAUGAUGCCUCGC